CUUCUUUUUCUAGUUUCCUAUGGUGAAAGCUUUGAUUAUUGAUUUUAGAUCUCUUCUUCUAUUAUAAUAGAUGCAUUUAUGCUAUAAAUUUCCCUCUAGGCAUCACUUUUGCUACAUCCCACAAAUUUUGAUUUUGUUUUCAUUUUCAUUCUGAACUUUUUUGAUUCAUGUAAUCUGUAAUGUGCAUUUCCAUAUCAUCCUAAGUAGAUCUAUUUCACUUUAACUGGUAUGUAAUAUUACAUUGUAUGGAUGUUUCAUAUUUUACUUAUUUAGUACUAUUUUGUAAGAUACUUAAGUUGUUCUAAUUUUUAUUCUCAUUCAAACAAUGCUCAAUGAAAUAUAUGUGUAUAUCUUUGUAUAUUGCAGGUUUAUAUCAAUAAGAUAAAUUCCUAACGUUGGAAUUGCUUAGUCAACAGAUACAUAUAUUUUCCAACGUGAUAAAUAUUGUCUAAUUGUUUUCCAAAAAUGUUGUACCAGUUAAUACUCACGAUGAGCUUUCAAUAGGUCAUUGCCUCUGUAGGAGGAGAUCCACUCUCUUUUUGUAAUUGCAAAGCAUAGUCACCUUGCCUAAUUACAGCAGGAUGUUAUUUAUACCUGUAUGUUUUGCUAUAAACACAUUAACCUAGAGAUGUGGGAUCUAAACGUUAAUCUUAGGUGUUGAUAUGCUCUGAUGAGUAAGAAAUUGCUAAAAGCUAGAGACAAAAUGGGAGAAAUAACUUGAGGCUUGCUGCAACACAGGAACAGAAAAUAAAAAUCAAGAGAAAAAAAGUUGGGGGGCAUAAAGCAAAACAUAAAAGUAAACAAAAAAAGGGGGAAGGGGAGAGUGAAGACCAUGGAGAUUGUGGUUAAUCAACAACAGGACGUGAGAAGUUGGGGAGCUGACCAAUAUUCUUGACAUAAGAUUUUGAGAAAAAUAGAGCUUACAGGGUAGGCUUAAACCUAGGAAUCAUUCUUCAUAUUUACCCAAAGAGGACUAUGGCACUAGCAAGUAUUUGUUUUCUCAGGUACUAGUGAUUCAAAGAGAGGGAGCUAAAAAGGGGAAAAUUAAAAUCAAAAGCCUAACUUAUUUUAUGCAAGAGAUAGCUGAAUUCUAAAAUUUUUGUUUUGUUUUGUUUUGUUUUUUUACCCUCUCAUGGGCCUAGCCUUAGGAUUUCUUUCACCACAAAUCCUUUCAUAGAUGGGAUCCCUAUCUGCCAUAGCAGCUGCUACCUCUGAGAGACUUGAAGCGACCUCUACCUCACACAUGAGAGAAAAGACCCUUCUUUUUACUUCUUGGGGAAUGUAGUGAUUCAGGACUGUAGUGUUUCCUCUUGGAGUCUCUCCCUAGAGGUUUUCCUAUUGUUUUUGCUCUAAGCAGAGUCCCCACAUCCACACUCCCCCACCCCCUCCAUAGCACAAUCAAUAUUAACUCAUUCAUAACAGAGGAGCAGCCUCUUUUCCAAUCACAGUUCUGCUGACUUGUUUGGGAUUGGUUUGGGUUGAGUCACUAAGAAACAUAUUAGAUUAAGGCACUGGUCUUUUUAAUAAUAAUAUAGAAUCUCCACACCUCUCAAAUAGACCUCAAAUUUGGGAGCCAUUUAUUUUCAUUACCCUCUCUUCAUAGGAAAAAUUGAGGACCCCGUUUAUUUACUUAAAACAACAAUAAGCUGAAUCACUGUUGCUAUUUAACAUCUUACUUUUUAGAAAAUAUUCUUUGUGGUGCCUGACGGCAAUGCUGCAAAGGAAACAACCAGUUUAAAAAUAGGAAAGAUAAAUUAAAUAAUACCAAUUUACAAACAAAUUUAAAAUCGAAACAAUCCCCCAUACACACUCUUCUUGGUCAGCUCUGCCUCACCCUAAGAGAUCAGUAGGUAAACAACAUUCUGUUACCUCUGUUUGCACCCAUGGAUCAUCAGGUGAGAGGGCAGGUGUUUGGGAGUAGUUGGAGAGAGGGCUGAAACAAUAUUUUUGCACCAAAUAACUUGGUCUCUCCAGUUUGUAGUUAGUUUAUAAUGAGUUUGUGAUCCAUGGAUCUCACAGGCUGCUUCCUUGUAACUUAAUGAACCAUAAUGACAAUUCCAAAGGCUACAUUAAUUUCUUUUUAAAAUAAAAGAAGGAGGGUCUGCUGAGAGUGGAUGUUAGGAACUAAGCUAUUUCCAUUACCCUAUUUUAAGUAAAGCGCUAGCUAGAAGGCCCAUGUACCAGCUACUGCUAACUCCUAACUUCAGAAACUCAUUUGCAAUGAGCUUUCCAUACCUCUUUGGGUGGGAAAUGUACUAUUGCUUCUCUUCUUAGCGAGGCUAUCAAGAAACACACUUCAAAAAAUUCCCACAACACACAUAAUCAUUCUUUCAAAAUAGCAAUUUGGCUGUAGCAGCCUUCUUCCCAUUCAGCUAAGUGUGUGAAAGGUAAUGGAGACAGCUAAUGCCUUUUGGUUUUGCUGUGGGCAGGGGAAUCUUACCAUCAUAUGUAAUUAGUAAGAACUACCAGAAAACAGACAAUUGUUAUAGAAGUCACACUGAAAAUACUCUAACAAAUAGUCUAAGCAACAUUCAUUGAGCUCCUUUGGGGGUGGGGCAAGGGGGGUAAUUUUCUGGUGUUAAGAAUGUCAUAAGAUUGCCAAGGUAGUAAAUGACUGGGACUUUACAAAGGCCUUUGGAAGGAGAGGGGGCAAUCCCAUGAGAAAAUGACAGGUACUGUUUUAUUUCCAUGGUCCUUUUUUACCUGCCAGUUCUUACUUCUCAGUGAACACAACUGAUGUCCCCACUUUCCCCAACAACAACAAUGACAAUAAAAUAAAUUUUAAAAAGAUUCUCGGUAUGAGUCAUGAGCUUACCCACUGUGGACCAGGAAGUUCUCUUCAGGCUCUCACCUGCUAAACUAUGGCAGAAGUGAUUAUGCAAAGUUUUCAAAAACCCACAGCACAGCUCUCCUCCUGCUGGGCUAUGAAUGGAGACAAGGGACUGGUACUAGUGAGGGCCAUUCGGAAGAGGAAGUGGGUGAAGGCUCUGCCACUGGCCAAAAUCGGGUUGCACCUCUUCUCCCAUGCUCCCCAUACAAGCCCUGACAAUGACAUUCUCCUGGAAGCCCAUUUUCAUUGCUGCCUCCAGGCCUUUGCUCUCCUGUUUGUCUGGGACUACCUGAGAGCCCUUCUUCUAAACCCAUCCUAGUCUGAUUCGAACUCAUUUUUCAAGGACCUACCUCUUCCCAGUUUAUAGGCCAUUUUCUCUCAUUUCAGCCCACACUGCGCUCUCCUUUCUCUGAAUUCUUGCAGCACUUAUAAUCUCUAUAAUUAUAAUAACAACAAUAUUUUAGUUAUUUACGUAUCAAGUACUCACUACAUGUCAGGUGCUAUGCUAAGUAGUUUACGUAGUCCCUUAUUUAAUCUUCACAGCUAUCCCAACCUAUGUUACAUUUGAGGAAACCGUGGUUACGUGGUUAGUAAGUGGCAGGAUGGGAUUUGAACCCAGGUCCAUCACUGGUAAAGCCUGUGUCCUUCCCCAUGGUCCAUAUUUCAUUUUUUGGGCUACCUCACAAUAUACUUGCACUGCAUCCUUUUUGUAUAUUUUAUAUUUCAUUUUAUGUGCUUGUGCCUCAUGUUCACAACAGAAUUUAUGCCUCUAGUGAAUGGGGCUACUUAUUAGAUGUGUGUUUACUGCCCAUUUUGUCAAGCAUGGGAUCAAGCAUUUAGUAGGUGCCUAAUAUUUGUGACUGGAUAUAGCAUGAAUAGACAUGCAUCUUUCUUCGAAACUCUCAAAGGUCUUUAUAAGAACAAUCACACCAGACAGUGGUGCAUGGAGGAGGGGAGCAGUGUAGUGGUCGCGUGUGAAAAGGGUCCCUGAAUAGCCAAUAAACCAUCUUACUCCGGUUCACUGUGAUCCCCUUAACCCCUCAGUAAUAGGCAAGGCCAUGUGAAGCCUGGCACAGAUAGAGUAUCAGAGAAAUCCCAAGAGGUGCAGCAUCCUUGCCACAAAAGCAGUGUGGCUGUGGCAAUCAUUGUUCCUGAAGCUUCUCUGAGGAUCCAAGAUCACUUCAGCCAAUCAGCUCCAGGAUGGAAAGAACUUCAGGGUUUUACUGGGCUUCCUUGCCAAGCUUUAAAUAGCUUAGUUACAUCAUUGAGAACCAGUGCCAAAUGAAAGUCUUUCUGAUUGACCUGCUAUUAGGAGGCCACUGCAUUAUAAACCUUCAAAGCUUUAGCCAUAAAAUAAUUUCAAAUGCAGUGUCAAGAGAAGUGUUCCAAUAUGUAAUAAGUAAAACUUAGAAGACGUAUAAAAAUUAAAGAGUGGGUCAACUGGUUCAAAUGGCACACAAAUUUAAUGUGAGUGUCACAGUCUAAUGGAAAAAACAGCAUCUCAGGAUCCAAGGGGGUUCACAUCAAUUCCAGCUUUGCCCUUCAUAUAACCUCAGCCAUGUUACUUCAUCUUACUGUGCCUCAGUCUCCUCAGCUGCAUGACGAAGACUGCGAAUUCAUUGAUUCUCAAAUUACAUGCUAGAUAUUAUCUGAGGUUCACAUGAUGGCAUAAGCUUCCUUUCCCAAACCUCAUGUAAAUACGUACCAUAUGUUUCUAAAAAGUUCUCUGUAUACACACCUCUAUUGCAAAAGUAUAUCACUCCGCAAGUUCUGUCGAGGUAACAAGCCCCAUUUUAAAGAAAAAAGAAAGGGAGGGGAGAAUUACAUUCAGGGUCAGAGAAAAUAAGGCCAGAAACAUACAGAAACAGGUUCCAGAUAUGCAAUCUGCUGCUUAUCCAUGGAGCCAUGCUACUUUCCUUUAAGAAGAGAGCGCUUAAAAGAGUAAGGUUCUACCUCUAUUCUCAUCAAGGGGAGCAACACUUUUGUAAUGACUUAUAAAGUGACUUGAGAAAAAUACUUUCUUAUCACAAUUUCCAUGUAAAUUCAAAAUUACCAUAAUUUCCAUGCCAAUUCAAAAUUAGGAAAAUACUUAACACAUUUUCUUAACUGUACAAAUGCCAGGGGAACAGAGUCCAAGACUCACUGUAGAGGGAAAAAACCCAAGGUUCUCACAGAAUCUCCAUCCCCAGCCCACUUGGCCAGAGUUUUCUUUCUUUUUAAAUUCUUGUGUCUCUACCUCUCACAGGUCUCCUCUUCCUCUUUUCCUCUUGUCACACUAUCUGCUGUCUCUCCUGGCCACCUCUAGAAGCCAACACCCUCAUCCUUUACCCUUUCUUUGCUUGUUGCAUCUAACUUUUAAGGGGCUCAGAGGCAAGAGGCCAAAGCCUGUUAAAAUCAGAAAUAAAGCUACAAAACUGGAGAAGACCUGAGCUGCCUCCCUGAGAAAAGCACACAAGUGUGACAUCUGCUAGUUGCUAAGUCCUUGUCUGUCACAGACAGUGGUAGAGGUCUAUCUUUCAGAGUAAAGAAGCCUAGCUUGAUCUAGAAAGCAGCAUCAUUUGGGCUCUUGACUUUGGGAGAAGGAGUCCUUCUGAUAUGACACACUAGUUAAUUCCUAUUCCACAAAAACCAUAACUAUGGCACAGUUAAAGCACUAUAGCAGGCACAGGUAAUGAAUAGGGUCACUUUCCUGAGUGACAUCUCCACUAAGAUCUUUCAUCACAUCAGACAUCUGUGACCCAGCCAAGCAGCAGUUACGAGGUCAGUCCUAUAAGAGAAAUAAUAGGAGGUGGGGAUGGGCAUUUGAGCUUAGCAAAGUUGUAAUCUAAUCUUUCGGACUUUGGUCAUAAAUGGGACAAAGUCCUAAAGAGACCACACUGGGUGUUAGGGAAUAAAAUGGCACUUUCCUCAAAGAAACAGCUAGAAAGGAAGCAUCCCAAGCUAUAUCCCGAAAGGCUCUAACCUCUGGGACUAAAUUACAGUCAUCAGAACCUUUAUCUUACAAAUGAAUUGUUAAUUGUACUUACCCCACCAGGACCCUCAUUUGUAUCUGUUUCUCAACUUCACCCAUGAGCCUUCCAUACACUCCUUCCCACCCUGUGCUAGAUGCCUCUCCUCUGAUGCACAACACCCUAUCACACUCCUCCUGACUAACUCACACACACACACACACACACACACUGUACUAUAAUUGUAUGCUUUUCUUCAUCUGUAGGCUCCAGGUCCAUUAGGACAAAGCUUGCAUCUUUCAGCUCAUAACUUUAGCUCUUAGAAUUGUGCCUUGUACAUAGUACAUGUUCACUAUAUGUUUAAAUGAAUGAGUACAUGAACAAAAUGAAUGAAUCUUUGUAUCUUUUAUAAUAUAGUUCUCCUUCCACCAAAGCACUCAUCUUGGUACCUUCCCAUCAUGAGGCCAGGGUAAGGCUUUGUGACAUCACUCUAAGAUAAGACAAAAGCACAAGAAUAGGUUGUACUUAGCAGAGGCAAACAAAGCUGUCCUCGGGCAGGGUGUGACACAGGUUUCUUCUUGUCUUGAGGAUGAGUGAAGAAGCCCACAGCCACAUGGGUAUUUUCGCAGCUUCCCAUGGGGGAAAGGCUGACCCUGGAUAGAAUGGCAGGAGAAUUUAAUUUUAGGAUUUGGGAAGAAGGAAUUAUUGUUAAGUAUCUCAGAAGAAUCAAGAUUUGGGAGCAGGAAGUGAAGACUUAUCCAAAUUAAAGAUUGUGCUAAUUUAUUACAACCAUGUAUACUGAAAACAAGCAUGUUGGGGUAAGUGGACUGCUUCCUCCAUAGCAGAGUUAUGAUAGCUUGGGAAGAAAGAAUUAAGCCAUUAUAAAAAGUACAGCAACCUUCCUCCUUCCAGCCUGCCUGCACAAAGUGACCAUGCAGAACAAGCCAUACCUGUACACAAUCUCCAUUUCAAACACGUAUAAAAUCCUAUUUACACAUUUCUAAGCUUGUCUUUCUUGAGAACAACUGAUUCCACUACAAUCCUGGAGUCCUAAAACGUCUUAUGUAAUCCACUCCAACUUUUUCAAUUGACAGACGAAAAGCCCGAGGUCCAGAGAGAUAAAGUGACUUUCCCCAAAUUUUAGAGUUUUCUGUUCCUCUAAGGGCGUAAGGGUGUAAUAGGACAAAAAGUGAUAAUCUAUGUGACUUGGGAUUGGGAGACCAGUGUAAUGUAGUGUGUUUGGAUCCUGGCCAACUGUGUGAUCUUAAGCAAUUUUAUGUCUCUGAGCCUCAAUUUUCUUAUUUCUAACAACUGGUAUAAUAAUAGCACCAACUUCAAAGGUUUUUGUGGUGAUUAAAUGAGAGAACAUAUCUAAAGCAUUCAGCACAGUGUCUGGUACCUAGUAGGUAUCAACAAAAGGUAUCUAUAAUAGGUAUUGUUGUUAUUGGUAUUAUUACUGUGCUAAUAGCAUAAUGGGUGACAGAAUAAUGAAGUCAGGAGUCAAAAUAAAUUAUAAUAAUGAUUAUUAUUAUAAUAAUAAUAUGAUUAACAUUUCUUAAGUGUGUGCCUAGGUACUUUAAUGAUUGCUUCAACUACAUUAUCUCACUCAGUUCUCCCAAUUCUACAGAUAAGGAAACUUUCCCUUAGAGGAGCUUAAAAUUUUGCUCAACAGCUGAUAAGUGAUGACCCUAGGAUAUGAACCUAGGUUUCACAGACUCUAGAAUUUCUGCCAUUAUGCUGAAUUAAGGAUAACCAUUAAUAGAUUAAGGAAAAAUAAAGAAAAGGAAGAUGUUUAAUUCCAUGAGUGAGGUCCUUUACUCUUUUCCCAACUAAAACAGAUGAAAGCCUACAUUUUAGAGCAAGAUGGGCCAAUAUCAAUCACUUCACUUAACCAUGUCAGACUUUUAUGAUAAAUGUUACGGCUGAGUGUGAGGUCACUCAAUGUCAGCUCAAUAUCCCUUUAACAGGGAGCUAUAAGUCAAUCCUGCCAUCUUCAGAUUUAUCUCUGGUGUACAAUAAAACUGGUUGAUUUUCUAUUGAUUGAGCAUUUGAGAUACAAAAGCUUGAGAAUUGGCUGCUAUUUGUUUGAUGUGUUCCUGUGUCUGUCAAACUUGUAGGAGUGUUAUCUGCUGUUUGAAUGUGGCUUGAAGCUUCCCAAAUCUGGCUUCCAUAAUUGUUUGGGAAAUGUCAUUUGCUUGAAAAAUGGGGGUAAAUUGAGGGCCUGUCUUUUCCUAUUUGCAGAUAUUAAGAGAUUUUAUUUAUGCAAGCUGUUAACCAGGUUAACAUUGCCCACCCCAUCCCUAGGGAUGAAGUAGGAGUUCAGUGUGGGUGAGGCAUACUUCUUAAGGGUCCUCAAAGCCUCUGAAAAAGUUACAUCUUCAGUAGAAAGCCCACAUAUUGCAAAAUGUUGGAAGGACGGUGCCUUAAAUUGUGAAAUCUUCUGUGAGGGAUCUCAUUUUUCUGGAACUCCCUGACAUCUGAGCCCUCAUGUUGCUGGAAUGAUUCCAAGAGCACCAUAAAAUUAGGGCUGGUCCUGUCUGAACUGAGUCCAGAUCAUUUCAAAGUGACUCAAGGCAGGGAAAUAAAUAUUGAACCUAGUUAAAUGUUGCUUGAGAUUAUGCUUGGCACUGGGUGUCCAGUCACUGAUUUACUCUUAGGUUACAGGGGUUAUUUUGAGCCCAAAUGGAUGUGCCAGGGCGGAUUCAUUCAAUGGCAGCAAUUAUUUGCAAGCACAGUUGCAUUUCUGACAUGUUUAGCGGAAUGUAAUGUAGAGAUUUAUGUGAUGGUUUCAGGUGGGUGUAACAGACAUUAAAGUCCUCAGUUUCAUGCUACUUUACUCAACCCUGGAUCACAUUUGGCUUUUCCCCAUUCUUUUUCUCCUUUUCCUUAUCUUGCUUGAAAAAAACAAAAAACUGACGUUUUUUCUUUCUUUCUCUUUCUUUGUCUCUUUCUCUCAUUCUGCUUCUUUCUUUGUCUUUCCUUUCUCAUCCCUUUCCUUUCCUUUUAGACAAUAACUUAUAAGUUAUGAGUGAACAAUACGAAAUCAGAAUCAAAGAGGUUAAAAGAAAGAGUUGUAAUGAUAUUCAGCUCACCCCACUCCCACUCUAAACCACCCAAAAAAUAUGGGGGUAGCUACUUGGAAAAGAAAUGUUUUAAAUGGCCAGUUACAACUUUAAAGAAGAGAUUUUGAAGCACAGGUACCCAUGGUACACAUGGACUAUGUACAGCCAUACAAUUUAAGCCCUGUUGAGUUGGCCUGUGACAUGUUUCAUUUUAUGACUGAUGUCGGGUCUUGUACCUCAGUGCCACAAGAUGGAAGUCACAUGCAGUCCCAGUCCUCUGCCUCUCUUCCCUUCAGCAAGAGGAGGAUACUCCCUAGUGCCACAUUUGGUCUCACUGUUUGAUCUGAGGCUCUGGCUGCUGUCAAGUCCCAGCUGGGCAAGACACUGGAGCAGCAUUCUGGUAUAAGAGCAACCUUUGGGAUCACACAUACCCACAUGGGACUCCUGAUCUGCACUCUAUUAACUGUCAACCUUCAGCAAUUGACCUAAAACUCUCUGAGCUCAGUUUCCUUAUCUGUAAGAUGGAGAUGAUAAUAACUCCUACCUUGCAGUACUGUUGUGAAGAUUUAAUGGGGUAAUGCACAUAAAGUGCUUGGGUCAGCACCUGCCAUCAGCAACACUUACUACAUGGUAGACAGCAGAACAAUUCCUCAAAUGUCAAACCACCUCUCUUUCUGAUAGGCCUGCAGACUCUGGCCACAGAUGUGACCCUAGCCUCAAACCUCUAAAGACCUGGCCACAGAGAUCAGGUGGCUCAAAAUCUUGGCAGAGGUGGACAACGGGGGGCAGGUCAGAGGUCCAACGUGGCAAUCAGGCAGGAACCAUCUUCCCAAGACACACCCCCACUUCUUGGGUUACACUGCCUAUGCUCGGUCUCCGACCCGUUUCUACAUUGGCCUGGCAAGGUGCAGGGCCCUGCCAAACACAAUGCCAAGCACAGGCUUUAUUAACUUGCCUAUAUCUUGAGAAAAUAGACACAAAACAACAGAGUAUACAUUAAAUCCUGUUAGGAGAAAAAUCAAUAAGAAAUAUCUGUUUAACAAAGCCCCAUACUUAGACCAUUUUCUUUCAAGAACUAUUUGAUCACACUUAAGAUCAGAAGCCAUAAUUUUCACAUAUGUAAGACUGUAUAGUUCCCAAAGCCGUUCCCCAUACCUUAUCUUAUUUGAGCCUUCCCAAUACCUUUCAAGGUAAGUAUUAUCUCCACUUUACAGAUAAGAAGCUGAUGUUCAGAAAGUUUUAAGUCAAAUCCAAGGUCAUUCAGCUAAUACCUGUUUGAGUUAUUUCUUGAUCCGAGAUCUUCUGACCCCAGCAUUCCCAGCACUACACUGUUCACCUUUUUCUACCCACUGAGUACUGGUCACCAAAACCCCUACUACCCUCACAUCCCAACACUCACCUAUGCUAUCUGGCUUUGAUUAGAAACCUGACCAAGGUAUAGGCUCUGAAAAGACACACAAGUUAAACGAGGCAUGAAAAAAUUAUCUGGUUUAAAAUAUGAUCAUGAAUAUACACCAUAUACAAAAGAACUUAAUGGAAAGAAACAGAGCCCAAGAAUUUCAGGGGGACUCUUCACUCUUCCAGCUUUAAGAAGCAAACUGGACCUGAUGGGUGAUGUACUUUGUGAGCCAGUUAAUAUAAAUAUCAUGAUAAUUUUAAUGAUAAUACAGCCCAUAGACCUCAGGGAGAAAGUAGUAUUCUCACCAAAGGUACAAAUGGAUGGGGAUUUUAUGAACGAAGGAAGAUCACUUCCUCUACACAGACUCUAUGCUCCCAGCUAUAGUGAUUUAUUUCUGCCCCUUCCAACCCAACAUUUCCUGAGAAUCCCCAUGGCCCCUGUCUUUGCUAGGUGGGGAAGAAAGACCUGAUCUUGUCACAGGAGUAGUGCUGGUGAGGAGAGGACAACAGACCUAGUGAUGUUUCUUUCACCCUCCCCAAUUCCCACCACCUAGAAAAUGAAGACUGACAACUAUUAAUGACUCCUGGUAACCACGUAUGGAUUAUUCAUGAGAUAAAGCAUGAUUUAAACCAUAGCUAUGAGAUGAUCGUUUCAUGUCCCACAUAGCCCUUCCCCAGCCAGGCCUGAAGCUAUAGGGAUGGAGGUGGGUGUUUGGGAUGAACCAGGGCUGCCACACAAAACAUCCAAAGAAACCAACUUCUUGACUGCGGGGAGCACAGGCAGAGCUGAUUGGACAUCAGCUACUCUGAGGAACACAGGAGAUUGCCUAUUUUUUAGGAAAUGUUCCAAAAAAUUGUUUCCCCUCCUCUUUAGCCCAGAGUGAAGGAGGGUGUUUCCCAUGCAGACAGUGCAACCUGCCCCGGCCCCUCACCACAGUGAGAGAAGACUCAGCAGCACAUGCUCACCGAGCUAACUGAACCGAUGGUGCUCUCCGUAGUGGCCACAGACUACAGCUGAGGUCAACUGAUGCAUGCCCAACGACGUCUGCAGAUCCCAAGAUAUGAUUUCAUUAAUUGCCAUGGAUAAAUCAGUUGGGCAUUUGCUGGCAGUGUUUAAAAUGCCACGAUGGGUCAGAUUAGAAAGCUGCUAGUACUGUAAGUCCAAAAGUGACCCAAGGAGGGUUCUUGGCUUCUGCCAAGGGUAAGAUCCCACAGCUGCUUGAGUUGACUCCACCUGAACAAAGUGAGGCCUCUGCCAUCAGGCCCAUCAUUCCAUCUAGAUAGGUAUGGCCUCCUGCCACCACCGGGACACACAUCUGUGAUACAACCAGAGACAACAAAGGUGCUUCUCCUCUCUGGAGUAGUGUAAUGAUGAAAGACACGUAUUAGAAGUUGAACUACCAAGGUUUGAAUCCCAGCUCUGCCCACCAACUAUGUAAUCAUGAGAAAGUCACUUAACCUCUCUGAAUCUCAGCUUCCUCCUCUGCAAAAGGGAAGAAUAAAGCUCCUAUAUAGUCCCAUAAAAUUGGUGUAAGGAUUAAAAGACAUGAUUGGUGUGAAGAGUUAGAACAGUGAGUCAACAUGAAGUCAUGUUCCAUAUUAUUUUUCCUUUAGGGUCCUCCGUCUUCCCCUUUCCCUGGAGACCCAUCCUAUCUGCCCUAGUGGGGCAGUGCCUUGUUCUCUGGGAUGCUCCUCUCUUUACUCUGAAAGAGAUCAAAUAACCAGUCCACACAAAGCUUAAUAUGUUGUUCAAUAGGAGGGUGGAACUUUAGAUGCAAGGAGCAAACUCCUAGAGGGAAAUUUCCAGUUUUAUUGGUCUGCAGAUAGAAAAGGGUUAUUUGCAUCAUGUAGGAGAGUAUUGAAUAGGAGGUGAGGAAGUAGGCCAAGGCCUCAUAAUCUGGACAUCGAUUUCAGGAUAAGAAGUGCAUAUAUAAGAGGUUUCAUAGGUAGAGUCGAGAGCAAGCAUAGUAGAAAUGACACUACAAAGAUUUUAAGAAAAAAUAGGAUUGAAGGGGAGCCAGUGUUGCCAGAUGGAGGCCAUCAUGUGGAGAUCCUGCUUGGAGCACUCACUAGCCCAGAGCCACCAUGCCAUGGGAUGGACCUGCAGCCUCUGGAGGCCUUGAUAAGGGAUGGCUGAGCUGAGCUGAGUGUUCACUUCCCUGUGCUUUUUACAUUUCCUAAGGUAUAGGCAACCAGGAGAUGCCUUAUUCUCUACAAUUUUCUGGGACCAACAUAGCCACAUCUGUUAUCCCUUUGUCCUUCCUCACCUUCCUUGCAACUCUUCAUACACAUUCACACACACACACACCUUUCCAGGUCUGAGAAAAAGGUAAUAGACAAAACACAAACUCUAAGAAUCAAAUGCAGACAUGUGAAGCUGGCCAGGUGCAAUCAUACAUGCCCUCGGGUAAGGCAUGAUUCAUCACCAAAGUCCCCAACUCCUCUGCUCUCUGAAAACACUCUGCCUUCUUGCAGAUGGAUGGUGACAGUCCCACUCCUUUCUACCUCAUACUGAGACCAGCUUGAGCAUGUGGCUGGCCAUGCAGCCUUGAAAAGGACAAAUGACCCGAAGGGACUAAAGUAGAAUGGGGAAAGCCAGGCACUCCAAAGCUGCAACAUCACCCUCUGGCAGUUAUAAUUGCUCCCCUGCAGUGAGGGAAUGUCCCUGCCCACUACUCAUCGACCAGGUAGCUCCUGGAGGGCUCAAGUUCCUGGUGGAAGGGGCUUGGCCUGUUUCAACUAACUUCAAGCAGCACAAAGCCCAGCCCAUCUCUCUGUAGCUCUGGGCAUUUAACAAAUGCUUUUAAUGAUGAUGAUGCAAUCCUUUCAGCUUAGGUCUAUCAGGGUCCCCUGAGAAACAUAUAUUAUCUGAAGCUUUCCCUUUUGCUUAAUUACAUUGUGCUAAUGUUCUUUUUCCACUAGAUUUCUCCUCCCCCAACUCUCCCAUCCAAAUCCUGCUUCACUGUGGGUUGGAUUUACAUAAAAGGCCAGCACGUUAUAAUUGUGAUGAUUGAUCACCAAAGUUUCCUUGGGUUCAGAUUGUUUCCUAAUGUGGGUCAUUUUUCAUCAUGAAGAGUUGGCUGAUAAUGAUGUCAUUUCCAUUGCUUGAAUUUUGAGGCAGUGGCCACAUAUCACAGAGUUUAAAUGACUGUCUAUAGGGCAGCAAAAUCAUGUCGUUAUCAGUUUAAAGCAGUUGCUGCUUUACUCCUGGGGACAAAACAAGAAUUGGAGCCUCCUAAAACUCAUCAAACAAGAGCAGGAUGCCAAGAAUACAAAUCUGUAUCUGGGCCUGGGAAAGGGGGAGCAGGAAGGAGGGGUGGUGGUGAAGCAAACCUGUUUUUGCAUGAGGCUGUGUGGUAAGUAUCAGAUAAAAAUGACAAAGUCAUACUUGACAGAAAAUAAGCUGUACUGCUGAUCACUGGAUACCUUAGAUGUGUUCACCCACAAUCCUUUAACUGUGAUUUCACAGGAAGAUUAACGAGCAAGAAUUGAAAUCAUUCACGAAGAGAAGCUUUGGACUAAAACCCAUCUGCCAGAUAAGCCAAUAAAUGUCCCUCUCAUCAAGUGAUUGGGACUGGGAUGGAGCUGGAAUUUGGCCCUAAUGUUGCAUGUGUAAAGUAUGCAUAUAAAAUGAAAUGAUGUUACAUGUGUGUUUAAAACAAAUAGUUGCAUUGUUAAAAUCCCAAGGCUUGCAGACCCUAAAUCACUGUGAGUGAGCUGCUGCCCCAGAUGCUCUGUUUUCUGCUAUUUGCCCCCAGCCAACUUCCCAUGUGGCAUGUCCUUCUGAACCCUCUAGGAUGCCCUGCAGAUGUUAAAAGUGUAUAGUGCAGCCCCAGCCCUGUCUUCCACAGUCUUUCUCAUGCAACCCAGCAUCCCUCCUCCAACUUCUUUUCAAAAUACUCUAACUUGGAGAAAAUUGCAAGAACAGUAAAAUGAACACCCAUAUAUUGCUCACCUACAUUCACUAAUUAUUUUUAUUGUCCCAAAUAUGCUUUAUCUCUCUGUAUACAUAUACACACUUUUUUUUGUUUAAUCAUUUGAGAAUUCAUUGUUUUAGCUUCCCAUGCUUCAGGAUACUUCCCUCCUACAUACUUAGGUGAGUAUCUCAACAAAAGGUUUUCCUCCUUUCAUAUCAUACUUCAGAAAUUUCACAUUGAUAUAAUACUAUUCUCUAAUAUGGUCUUUUUUAAGUUCAAUUGUCCCUAUAGUUUUAUGCAGCUGAUCUAAGUACAUACAUACACACAUACACACACCCACACACACCCGCACACCCACACACACACGCCUCCAGGGUUUAAUCAAAGAUCUCACAUUGCGUUUAGCUGACAUGUUUGCUUUUUCAUUUGUUUGUUUUGUGUUGUGGUGUUGAAUUGGUCCUAGCGGUAUCAAUAUAAACCUAUUUUUAUUUCAAAAAUUUAUUUCUUAGGAAGAUGGAGAUAUGUCAAGAAGACACAGGAUUCUUCUUGAAAGGAUUCCCACUGGGAAAACUGGGAUAAUUUAAACAUCAAAAUGACAAAUGACAGAAGUGGUUAUAACAUAUUAGAGGGAACAAAUAUAUUUUCUGAUAUUUUGAAAAAUCAAGGUGGGAAGAAGAAUGGAACACUCCUCUUUAGAGAAGAAUACCAACUAAUAAAUGAGUAGGAAAUUUAGAAAUAGAAAAUUGUCAUUUUGUAACCAUCAUAAUGAUAAUUAAUUCAGGCAGGGGCCAUGAUAUCCCAGUCCACAUUUGUACCUUUCUUUUUCCACAGUGAGAAUCCAGGUUCCCAACAACCUUGUUAUGUUUACCCAUUUGCCUGGUCCUGCAGUACACACUAUCAACAAUUUAUUAAGUGGAGUUCAAGAUUUCCAUACCGUUUCAUUUUUAUUCUUAGAAAAUGUUAUGUUGGGUUGUACAAUCAGCAUACUUUGUUCGAAAGUGACUUGAGUACUUUUUCUAAUCUGUGAUUUUUAUCUAUUUCAUGUAAUUUUGGGUUUUUUCUGCUUGAAUUCAAUUUUCAUCUUUUUUCCAUUUCUUAAUUCUAUUUUUUGGAAAUGUAAACCUUUAACACACUUUGAAACACAAAACCAAAUCAAAAGGGAUCCCCAGAGAAAUUCCAUCUUCUUCCCUAUGACUUGCAUUUGGUUCUCACUGAU
rnacentral:lncRNA from 1 species